rnacentral:lncRNA from 1 species
CUGGGGGUGGAUUUCAAGACUCACUAUCCUAUUUGUUAGAAUAUUUGAUUAGCAAUAAAGGGUUUCUUUCCCUCCUCCAGUUUUUCUGCGCGAAUUUUCUUAGAGGCUGUAUAGUGUGUGUGUGUGUGUGUGUAUGCAUGUGUGUGUGUAGAUUUGGAUUAGGGUCCAGAUACUAUCACUUACUGGCUACGAUGACCUCAAGGAACCAAUACACAGUAUUGAUUCCAAGAUGGAAGUGAGACUUUUGUUCCAAUGUCAUAACCCUUCAGGAAUGCAAGAUUAUCUCCAUGGGUCACCUUUGCAACUUUGCCCAGUGCUAUCUUGUCUGAAGAAUCAUGGGAAUAUGCUGGCCAUGUCUUUCCUCCUAAGAAGCCUCUGGGAGAGGGGCCAGAUAGAAUUGAUUUUAAAAAGGGAAAUGUUUGAACACUAAGCAUCACCUUCUGAGGCCAGACAGCCUGCACAUCAGUGACUAAAGUCUUACUUCAUGGAUAACCUAGAAAAGAUGUGACUCUUUGGUAUGAAGACUUAUGGAGCUGAGAAAGAGAAAAGGCUUUCACAUUGGGGUCCUGAUUUCAAAUCACAUAUUGUCUACCACUCUGCUAUUCAUCACUUCUUGCCCCCUUACACACAUAGAAGGACAAAAUCAUCAUUAUUGCUUUAGUCCAUCCAUUUCAUCACAAAUUUGAUCCUGAAAUUAAAAAUAAACUUUAAAAAAUCCAUCA